UGACAGUGCGCUUAAGGCCUGCAGCCCAAGUAGGAGAGCACACAUUGGGAGGCUCAACCGCCAUUUCCCUCUUGGCUCUCUAAGAGGGUGGGCAGAUCUGGAUUCUAAGCCAUUUCACAGCAAACACGCGUCUCUAACCACCAGCAUUGGCUUAAUUGGGGCUGCUUCCAAACCAGGUCCUCUCCUGCCUGCUACUUCCUAAAAAAGAAGCAAAACCACCGAGGAUUUUGCUGCAGGAUCCGAGGAAACCCCAGGCUUUGUCACUUGAGAAUGGGGUUCUCCAAAGAAACCCACGUAAGUCACUACAGACUGUUGCCAUGGGGACAGCAUACCCUCACAGGCAGCCAAAGGCAAGACUGAGGAUGGGUCAUGUGACCAGACGGCAGCCAGACCCAGGGAGUGAAUGUGCACAUAAUGACCUUUCUUGGACAAAAGCAGUAGAAGCAGAAAAUCGUCAACUGAAGUGAGCAGACUAAGGAUGGCUUGUGAGUGGUCCCUGGCAGUUUGAGAGAGAGAAUCCAAAAGAUGGAGAGAGUGGAAGCAUCAAAAGAUAAAACACGCAAGAGACACAGGAGAAGAGUUCUGGGGACCACAGGAGAAAGGGCAGAAAGGACAUCUGGCGAGCACGUGAAGGAAAGACAUCGCGCUAGCACGUGGAGGAGAAGACAGCGGGAGGGGGGCGGGGGGAAGCACGCGGAGGAGAGGACAUGGGGCGAGCGCGUGGAGGAGAGGAUAUUGGACGAGCGAGGGGAGGAGAGGACAUGGGGCGAGCAGGUGGAGAAGAGGCCAUUGGGUGAGCAUGUUGAAAGAACAUCUGGCGAGCGCUUGAAAGCAAGAAAGACAAGCGUAGGGCAGAAGGAGCGAGCAUGAGCGAGCAGUGCGCCAAGAGAAUGAGAAGGAUGGAGAGCUGUUCCUAGCAAAACCAGGGGAAGGGGGGACCUAAUAAGAAGCAAUUAGAAGGAAAGUGAAAAGACUUAUUCUAGGAGUUUGGUGUUAAAAAGCAAAUGAAGUGGAAAUUUUGUAAGUGUUAAACUCUACCCAAAAACAGUAUGAGGGGAAAUUUUCACACAGUAUAACUUAAAACAAGUAAAAAAAAAAAAAGUAUAACAAAUUUGUGUUUGGAUGAUAGAGCAUACAAGAUCAUAAUUAAAACACUUUACCAACGCUAAUUAAGGUAGGUAGGUCAAUGUUAUUG
rnacentral:lncRNA from 1 species